rnacentral:lncRNA from 1 species
GCCAUUGAUGUUGCUCUUCUCGAUCCUCCUUGUGGUCUUGGUGACUCUUAUGCAUGGGAUGUCUAGAGAGAUUCAUAGGAUCAUCGGGAGGUUCAAGAGAAAGAGCAUAGUAGAAAUUAUUAAGCUCAAGGAUGGGUUGGAUAGCCGAAUCAUGAGAUUGAAAUGUUUGGAAAUUGGCUAUUGAAACUUCCUUUCCUCGUCUGGGAGAUGAUUCCUUCUCUAUCUCUAGGAAUUGUUUUUGAAGACUAGUGCAAGAAGGAUGUCCACAAAUGAAGACAUACCUUCCUUUAUUAAUAGAUAAAGAAAGAAAAACUCUACCAAAGGUUAUAUGAUUAAGACCAAUGUGAAAAUAUCGAGAAAAAACAUGGUCUUGUAGGCUUGGUUUAAACCAGAAUUUAUAGAAAGAUUAACAGAUUCCCUAGGUGUAGCUAAAAGUUCAUUAUCAUCUUGAUUAAAAGAUAGGACCUCAGCUAUAGAAAAGGGUUGGUUUAGACCUAUUGCAAUCAACUCCGGACACAGAUCAUAAUUAGGGGCAAAGAAAGGACUUGUUAACUCCCAUGGUCUAUGGCUAGUCUCCGAAGGUGCAAAAAAAAUUCAAUAAUAGGUAUGGAAUUUGAGUUAUCCAUAAUGAUGAAAAAAAUAAAAAGAUAAAAGAAUAAAAGUAUAAAAGUAUAAUACAAGAUAAUAGCAAGACUUAAAGUUAUCUCAGCAAACCGUCUUUCUCCCCGGCAACGGCGCCAUAAAUGCUUGUUGAUAUUUGGUAACACCAUCAGGAAAUGAUCCGCAAGUGCACGGGUAUCGGUGAGCACUUCACCCGGGAGGUUAUCCAGAGUAUCGUAUUUAUAUUUUUACCACUGGGAGAAAGCGUGCAUCUGACUAACCAAAUCUAUUGCUACUACCCUUUAGGCUACAAAGAAUGUUUCUUGAUGUGAGCGAUGUAUAGAGAAGACUACAACCGUAGUCUCGUUCUAACCUUGGUACGGAUGAUCUACUGUUUUAUUGGGGAGGCUCAUGGAAUCUAGACACCACAAAGGAUGUUCGACCCGCACCUAUAAACCCUACCCAUCCUGCUAACGAGAUGUGGGCUGCAAAGGUAACUCAGAAAUGUCACGUUCCUCGCUACUACCACGGUCCAGCUAGUCAGGGGAUAUCUAUGAGUACCCUAGCCCAAACACCACGUUUACGCUAGCAAUUAUUACUCUAAACUC